UACGUAGGGUGCGAGCGUUAAUCGGAUUUACUGGGCGUAAAGCGUGCGCAGGCGGCCCGUUAAGACAGGUGUGAAAUCCCUGGGCUCAACCUAGGAAUUGCGCUUGUGACUGGCGGGCUCGAGUACGGUAGAGGGUGGUAGAAUUUCCAGUGUAGCGGUGAAAUGCGUAGAGAUCAGGAGGAACACCGAUGGCGAAGGCAGCCCCCUGGGCCUGUACUGACGCUCAUGCACGAAAGCGUGGGUAGCAAACAGG
rnacentral:rRNA from 1 species